ACUCUAGCUGGACAGUUUUAACUGCAAUUCCCAGGUUGAGCCCGGGGCUUUCACAUCUGACUUAUACGACCGCCUGCGCGCGCUUUACGCCCAGUAAUUCCGAUUAACGCUUGCACCCUUCGUAUUACCGCGGCUGCUGGCACGAAGUUAGCCGGUGCUUAUUCUUUGGGUAACGUCAUCCCAACCGGGUAUUAGCCAGCUGGAUUUCCUUC
rnacentral:rRNA from 1 species